rnacentral:rRNA from 1 species
UACGUAGGUGACAAGCGUUGUCCGGAUUUACUGGGCGUAAAGAGCGCGCAGGCGGCGCGGUAAGUCGGGUGUGAAAUCUCGGGGCUUAACUCCGAAACUGCAUUCGAUACUGCCGUGCUUGAGGACUGGAGAGGAGACUGGAAUUUACGGUGUAGCGGUGAAAUGCGUAGAUAUCGUAAGGAAGACCAGUGGCGAAGGCGGGUCUCUGGACAGUUCCUGACGCUGAGGCACGAAGGUCAGGGGAGCAAACGGG